rnacentral:rRNA from 1 species
GCUCCNGUGAUUCAGCGGCGGACGGGUGAGUAAUGCCUAGGAAUCUGCCUGGUAGUGGGGGACAACKUUUCGAAAGGAACGCUAAUACCGCAUACGUCCUACGGGAGAAAGCAGGGGACCUUCGGGCCUUGCGCUAUCAGAUGAGCCUAGGUCGGAUUAGCUAGUUGGUGRGGUAAUGGCUCACCAAGGCGACGAUCCGUAACUGGUCUGAGAGGAUGAUCAGUCACACUGGAACUGAGACACGGUCCAGACUCCUACGGGAGGCAGCAGUGGGGAAUAUUGGACAAUGGGCGAAAGCCUGAUCCAGCCAUGCCGCGUGUGUGAAGAAGGUCUUCGGAUUGUAAAGCACUUUAAGUUGGGAGGAAGGGCWGUARAUUAAUACYYUGCUGUUUUGACGUUACCGACAGAAUAAGCACCGGCUAACUCUGUGCCAGCAGCCGCGGUAAUACAGAGGGUGCAAGCGUUAAUCGGAAUUACUGGGCGUAAAGCGCGCGUAGGUGGUUUGUUAAGUUGGAUGUGAAAKCCCCGGGCUCAACCUGGGAACUGCAUCCAAAACUGGCRAGCUAGAGUACGGUAGAGGGUGGUGGAAUUUCCUGUGUAGCGGUGAAAUGCGUAGAUAUAGGAAGGAACACCAGUGGCGAAGGCGACCACCUGGACUGAUACUGACACUGAGGUGC